UCCACAAUAUUCUAAAAAUAGCAAAUGCAGCAGGCGACUUAGCUAGUUCAUUAGCUAAAUAGGCCAUUGGUUGUGGGUUUUUGGAAAGAGCACAUAUUUUUAAGUUGUGGCUUGGAAAACAGCUCAGACUGUUAUGAGCGUUGCAGUUUGAUGUAACUACAAUGUAGUAACAUUGCCCCAAUUCCAUAAGCUGGGUCUCU